rnacentral:tRNA from 1 species
GCUCGGAACGCAAAAGACCGCGAUAUGUCGCAGAAGCUCAAAAUGCACUUACAUUGGCAUGAAUUUGGCCCGCG